CGCAAGAUCGAGCCAGUGUAGACACAGCCUUUGGGUGGGGUUUGGAAGAAGUGCUCCAGCCAGAGCUCAUGUUAGGGCAAGCCUGGGCAAAAUACGGCCUGUGGAUGCAGCUAGGAGCCACAGGCAGGCUCCUUGCUGGCCUUUCCCCCCCCCCAGGCCACUCAGAAAAUGGCUACUGGGCUGUUUCUCUUUCAAAACUGAGCCCAGUGGUGGUGGAAAGGCUUGAUGUGCUGACCCUGCCCUCAGCUCAAUCCCAUUGGCCGGUUUCUGGCCAGAAACCAGCCAAUGGGAGCUGAGUGUCUGAAUAACAGGCAGCCAUAAAGCACCAUGCCCAGGCCUCUCCGGCUUGUUUUAUUCACACAUGUACAUGGCCCUGCAGCAUGUGCAGGGGUGGGGCAGGCAAGGAGGGUACUUCAGAAAUGUGCUGGGCUGCUGGCUGGGAGUCACCCAGCAACUAAACUCGAGGGAGGAAGAUGUGCUGUAAAGGAGACUAACAUAUAAACACUGGGGCUCUGUUUAGUUUCUGUCUGAAGGUCAAUGAACGCAGAGGAGCUUCCAAGGACAUAUAAAAUCAUUUUGAAUAACGAUCCUUGCAGAGAGGGGAAGAGUGAGAGAGAAGGUGGAGUGAGAGGAGACCAGAGCAGACCUAGGAAGAUAUAGCAACAACAUUGCCAGAGAUAAAGCCCGACUCAUCUGUCACACCAUUCGGAUCCUGAGGAGGGCCAGCUAUCAGAGGCGGAGGAUCAGCAGCCUGAAGUGUUAACCACUGAUCUUUCUUCCUCUUCACUGGAUGAAGCAAUAAUUCCAGAAUAAACAGAAGAACUGAUGCUUCCAAGAGUUGUGCCAGAGAGCUGAGCCAUUUAAGGGACACAGCCAGCCUUUCCAGAUUAACGCAGCACUUCAGCUUACUAGAACUGAAGGAAGUUACAGACCUAUUAUUUCCAGUCUGUUUACUUUGUGCAUUUUACAGCACUUUGGGGACAGUGUGUUUCAUGCCCCUCCCUAUUUAUAGCAAGUUUUUUUAAAUCUUGUUUUAAAUGUGCGGACGGAUGUGACCUCAAAACAGAACUGUGUUGGGAACAGAACAAGAUGACAGGAGCAGCAGGGGACCAGACUAAGACAGCAGUCUGAAGUUUGGUCUCGGAGAAUUACAAUUUGCCUCCAUCAACCUUCUACACCAGAUAACCCUAAUCAAGAAAGUAGAGCAGAGAGUUGCCAAGGAUGGAUUCCUCAAGGCAAAUCUGAACAUUUUUUUUUUUUAAAUCUCACUAAGAAGGGAAGCCUGUCUGAUUGCAAGUAAGGACAUGGCACCCAAAACAGGCGGGAAUAAUAAGGCUGAAGAGCCAAAUGGUCACACCAAGAUGGACCUCAGGAAGUGAUUCUCUUGAGUUGAAGGUUUUGAGAAAUUAUCAGAUGUUUAAGAGUCAAGCAGAAAAGAAAGAAGUUCCUGACUUAGCAGGUUAAGAUCCUGUGUUAGAAACUUAAGGAGAAACAUUUGAGAGUGUGUAUGUGUGCCUAUCCAUUUGAGUCGAGAGAGACACAAGAUUUAACUUCAGUGAGAUGAUACAGAAGACAGGAGGAGAAAAGGUUAGACGUUAAAGGUCUGCCUGAAAGUGCUGCAGAAGGAAACCCCAUCAGCAUUCCUUGGGGCGCAAAUCCACUUCCUUUCUGAUUGCUCUUUUCAGCAUCCAUCAGAGGGCUGACUUCAGUGAGUCCGAAUGUUACAACAGUGAGUCAGUCCCCAAUGUGUUACAAGUAAAGUAAUGACUGGACAGGGGUAGAGUCGUUAGUGACAAAUUGCAUGCAUUUUUGCAAUGGAAUCAGGCAUUCUGUCCUAACAAGCAGGCAAGUCUUUGCCACUGUAGCCAUCUGAGCAGCACAGUGAUGUCAUGAUGAACUGCUGAGACACCACCCAGUUACCUAUUGUAUCUCACUCCAGAAGUAUGACCUAAUGGGCACAUAAACCUGCAUAUGAGAGUUCUCACUUGUUGCAGUAAACUUUUUCCACAGCGAGGGGAGUUUAAAGAGAAUUCAGGAAACAGUCUGAAAUUUAAAGUUACACAUUUGAAAGGGCAGGAGCACCAUAAGGGUAGAAGCAGAUAAAACAAAGCAGCAGAAUACUAGCAUGGUCAGAGGGAUGAAAAAGAAAGGUCAGAAAGGCAUAGAGCCUUGAGAAUCCCAGGGGAGAGCUGGAUGGGUCAACCCCCUGUUCACUAGCCCAAUAUGAAGUUAUUCAGCAUAGGGGAAGCUUUGUGACGUGUACA